UGCGAAUUAUUCGCUCGUUCGUGUUUGUUGUCUACUUUUUUUGCUCGCGCUUCGGUGUUUACGGUGUUUACGAUAUAAUCAUCGGUCUGACCUUCCAGCUGGCUUCAGGAUGUGAUCGGAACUAAAACCACGACAAAACGGCACAGCAAGUGGGGCAAUAGAUUGCUGCUCGGUCGAAACGGAAGCGGUGACGAAACGGAAGCGGUGACGAAACGCAUGACGGCAAGGCGACCAGUAUGCUCUAAAAUCAAGUUUGCCUUGGACGCAAGUCAGGACAGAAUACCAGAGGUCCUAAUGAAACCGAGUACGACACUACACUAUGACUCUUGGAGAAUACGUCGUUAUUAAUCCCUGAAGCAUGAGAUGCAUAGUAAAAUCCAUUCUGACUGAAAUUACCGACUAUGGAAGAAAUAUGUAGUUAACAAAUAACGUCCUUUCAGGAUGCAGACAACCCGUGUUGUUAAUUAGUGUACAUUUGCUAGGAUGGAAGGAACAUACCAAUUAAGUAUUAACAUCGUACUAUGCUCACAGGGCUGAUAGCGAGUCACUUAUUAGUGACUUAGUAAAUUUUCGGACCUGGCCACUAAAAAGUCACUAGUAACUUUUUUCAUUAAAAAAAUGGUAACUAAAGUCACAAUUUUCGUGGUCUGAUAAUGAAUAAACGAUAAUCUGGAUCAGCUUCUUAAGCUUUUUGUUAUUCUAAUGCAAACAUUCUUUGCUAACUAUCUGCUAGAUUCAGGUGAAUGUUGCGCAGACAUUUUUGACAGAAUAUCUGGAAUUUAUUUGUUGGGUUUUGUAAAUAAGUUCUAGGUAUUUUUUGAAAGUUAAGUGUCAUCAUAAUUUCUGACCACCAUAAUGAGCUUAUUUAGUGGUAAUAUCUGAUGAAAUCAUUAGAGAAUAGCCCGAAGGGAUUUUGACCUACUUUUUGAAGGAAACUCAA